CCUAGGGGUGCUCCAGUGGGGAAUAUUGCGCAAUGGGGGAAACCUUGACGCAGCGACGCCGCGUGGAGGAUGAAGGUUUUCGAAUUGUAAACUCCUUUUAGAGGAGAAGAAAACUAUCUUACUAAAUAAUAAGAUAGCUUGACAGUAUCCUCAGAAAAAGCCCCGGCUAACUCCGUGCCAGCAGCCGCGGUAAUACGGAGGGGGCAAGCGUUGUUCGGAAUUACUGGGUGUAAAGGGCGCGCAGGCGGUAAAAUGAGUCAGACGUGAAAUCCCUCAGCUCAACUGAGGAAUUGCGUUUGAAACUGUAUUGCUUGAGUACAGUAAAGGAGAGUGGAAUUCCCAGUGUAGCGGUGAAAUGCGUAGAUAUUGGGAGGAACACCGGUGGCGAAGGCGGCUCUCUGGACUGUUACUGACGCUGAGGCGCGAAAGCAUGGGGAGCAAACGGGAUUAGAUACCCUUGUAGUC
rnacentral:rRNA from 1 species